rnacentral:lncRNA from 1 species
CAUUAACUCCUUUAGUAGUUCUCACCAUCAUGUACACUCCAAUUUAUGGAAGACACUGCAGAUAGUUAUCAGAAGUAUGUCACUGUAGUGCAUCCAACCUUUUCACCCAUGUGAGUUGGCUACAAUAGGAACAUUUGUCAUAUGGAGUCCAAAAAGGAGAGGAAAAAAUGAAUUCCUACAACUAAACAAUUAUUUCUUCAGUAUGACAGAUUUUACAAAGUAUUUUAAGCAAUUCUAAACCAUUAUAAUCCCAUCAUCCAUGCUUUGUACAGCUAUAUUUCCUUUUACACAGAUGUCAUACUGCACUCCUAAUGUAAUUUCUGAGUAUUUGUGCACAUUGAAUCAUAGAAAGAUUUAUACGAUUUGGAGAGAAACCAAAGUAUUGAAUCUAACCAUGGGUCUACCUUCCUGUAGCUGGAGCAUGGCAGCAACAUAUGGCAUCAAGCUUUUCAGAGAUCCGGAGAAGUUCUGGAAAGCAGCAGUCUCUUCUGACACUGGAUGGGAUCAGCUUGCAUCAUUACACAGGAGAGAAGUGUAGCAGAAAUGACUUUCUUUUAAAGGAUUACUCCUGGAUAUGGAGAGUAAAAUAUGCUGAAGUUUCAGUUAAGUCUGAACUUUCUCAUGCUUUUUAUAAGGACUCAAGUACUACAUUUAUGACUACACACAGUGAGAGAAGCAUAGCAAAAUGCCUGAAGAGGAGAAACAACAGCUCCAAUGGCCAAGUGGGGAGAAGCUAACAGAGUAAUAUUUCAAGAAUAAGUCACCCAAAACAAAUAAAAUAAAUCAAUCACCACAACUGAUAUACCCUUCUGUCCAUUCCUUGUGCAAAGAUUUCUUUUCUCAAAAUUCCAUCAUAAGAAAUGUAACAAAAUGUUAUAUAUUGUUGUAUAUACGUGUUACAUUGAGUUACAAAAAUGUAACUCAAACAUGUUUACACCUGAUGCCAACAUUAUCAGCAGGCUUCAAAGCUCAUGUGUUUGUUGUUUUUUGUUUUCUUUUUAAUCAGCAAGACUAUGACUGGUUAGACCAGUGCCAACUAUAUUUUUUUCAGUAGCUCUUAGGUUACUGCAGCGUUUCUUGAAAUAAAAUUUAUCUCUACUUUACUUGUUUUCAAGUGCUGGAAUUUACUGCUGAG